AUUGAAAGCUGGCGGCAGGCCUAACACAUGCAAGUCGAACGAGUGGCGGACGGGUGAGUAAUGUCUGGGAAACUGCCCGAUGGAGGGGGAUAACUACUGGAAACGGUAGCUACUACCGCAUACCAUCGGAGGUGCCCAGAUGGGAUUAGCUAGGAGGUGGGGUAACGGCGCACCUAGGCGACGAUCCCUAGCUGGUCUGAGAGGAUGACCAGCCACACGGGAUCGGAGACACGGUCCAGACUCCUACGGGAGGCAGCAGGGGGGAAUAUUGCACAAUGGGCGCAAGCCUGAUGCAGCCAUGCCGCGUGUAUGAAGAAGGCCUUCGGGUUGUAAAGUACUGUCAGCGGGGAGGCGUUACCCGCAGAAGAAGCACCGGCUAACUCCGUGCCAGCAGCCGCGGUAAUUC
rnacentral:rRNA from 1 species